ACGGACUGACGCACGCACGCACGCACGGACGACGGACGACGGACACCGCGCGAUCACAAAAGCUCACCUUGUCACUUUGUGACAGGUGAGCUAAAAAUGUAAAUACAAAGAUUGGAUGUUGUUCCUUGUGCAUUUAUAAGGGUAUAAGCCACACUGGGACUUCUCACAAAUCAUCAAAGAAUUGCUGGCAUGGAAGUCCCAAUGUGGUUUAUACCCAUAUAUACCGUACCCAUAUAAACACACAGAAUACACUGGGACUUCCGGAAUUUCAUACAAGAAGCCCUAUUGUUGAAGUCCACAUGUGACUUAUACCUUUAUAAACA